CCUCCAGAGCAAGUCUAGGGUUUUGAGCCCAGAAAUCUGUGUUUGGAGGAAACCUCGAGCCAGUGACUGCCUACCUGUAGCAAGAGACAAAGGCAAAGUGUUACAGCCCUGGGGGACAGCCAUGGCGAAUCUCCUCCCAGACCCUGACGACACAGAAACUGGCAGAGCCUGUCAGGAAGUGGAAGUCGGCACUGAUUUAUACAUCUCACUCGAUUCAGCUGAUUAAAUCCCCCUUGGCGUCUCCUCCAGAGCUGCCUUUUUUACUCUCCCGGGUUGUCUCUGGCCCAAGAGCUGGAGGAGUAUUGCCUAUAAAUAAGCAGCGCCAGGAGGAGAGGAGCCAAGCACGCCCUCCUCCCAACCACCUGCCGCACGGGCCUCCUGGUCUGGCUUCUCUGGGUGGGUGGGGCGAUGGAGGCCUUGCUUCUAUUCUGAGCUCACCUCUGCUGCUGUGACCUUGGGGAACAGAGGGAGCAGCUCUUGCCUUGGCUUCCCCUUCCUGGGGCCCCGUGGGAGCCUCCUAGCCCGUGAGGUUUAUACUUUGAGCAGAGCUCUUGGCCUUCCGUUCCUGCAGCUGCAGUCUAAAAUGGAGUCUGCCAUGCAGAAGCCUAGAAACUGGAAGAGCCCCUCAAAGCCACACAUUUCCCCUCCCUGAAGUACAAAUAAGGUUUAGAGAUGCCCGGGACUUCCCAAGGCCACACAGCUGGUUAGCAGCCAGAGGACUAGAACACAGCUCUCCUUCACCCACAAAUGCCCCCUACACAGGUUCUGGACUGCAAAUGCUCCUUGAAUCCUGCAGGUUAACCAAUCAUCACUGCAGGCAAGGUGAACAGAUAAAAACAACGAAAACCCGGAAGUCCAGAAGCAGCGCGGGCACUGGAGGAAAGGCAAUCACGUCACCACCCCUCCGCGGGCCUCAUCUCCUUAUGUAUACAGUGCAUGUGACACCUGGACCCUCAAGGCCUGAGUUUUCAGCGAUGAGACUGCUGUGAGUUUGAGUUCUCCUUGUUCCAACAUCCCAGCCUACCAUUCUCAUGGUAUGUAAACCAGUGCUGAUAAUAUAUUUGAAGCUGAAGCAAACUCGGAAGGAACACAGCCGUGGUGUCCCCAAGCCUCUGGGAACUGCCUGAAGCCCGGGAAUCAGAUGAAAACCAACACGCUGGGCUCCACGGGCACCCCCGGAAGCGGCCCUACUCUUGUUCCUUGUGCUCUGUGGAUUGAAACUCAGAAGCAAAGAGCCUCUCAGGAGGGGCAGAGCAAGGCAGGGCUUUGGGUUUGGAAUGGCAGAGUUUGGAAUGGCAGAGAACUGGUGCCUCCUGAGCACCAUCCUCUGGGCAGCUGCAACACCCUGGAGCUGCGGCCGCCACUCAUUCUUUACAGACCUCAGUGGUUAUCGGGGGAGUUUUACUCCAAAUUGCAUUCGGAACAGCAGAAAGAUGACUUGUUCCAAAGGAAGGCCUUACUAAGAAAUGAUGAGAGGCUGUGGAACGACUUUUGGAAGCGGGGGGUGCAGGGGCCCAGAAUGGACAGUGGUCUGACGUCAGCCCAGGAAGAGCUGUCGGUUUCUGUGGGCCACUGUGCUUCACUGUCAAUAGGGAAAGGGCUUGAGCUGCCCUGGGAGACUCAAGGAAGACUUCAUUUCCACUCAAGGAAGGAAUUCCUGGAAGAAACCAGAAUGGGACAAAUACUUGAAGGAGUGAAGGAAAUAAAUGACAGAAAAGUUUCUGUUUAA